UACGGAGGGUGCAAACGUUGCUCGGAAUCAUUGGGCGUAAAGCGCACGUAGGCGGUCCAGCAAGUCGGGUGUGAAAGCCCUCGGCUUAACCGAGGAAGUGCAUUCGAAACUACUGGACUUGAAUACUGGAGAGGAUCGCGGAAUUCCCGGUGUAGAGGUGAAAUUCGUAGAUAUCGGGAGGAACACCAGUGGCGAAGGCGGCGACCUGGGCCAAUAUUGACGCUAAGAUGCGAAAAGCGUGGGGAGCAAACAGG
rnacentral:rRNA from 1 species